rnacentral:rRNA from 1 species
AUGCAAGUCGAACGCUCCCGGGACUUCGGUCUUGGGGGAGUGGCGCACGGGUGAGUAGCGCGUGGGAACCUGCCCUGUUGUGGGGGAUAACCGAGGGAAACUUCGGCUAAUACCGCAUAAGCCGGCUGUCUUGAGAGAGAUGGCCGGGAAAGAUUUAUCGCGACAGGAGGGGCCCGCGUCGGAUUAGGUAGUUGGCGGGGUAACGGCCCACCAAGCCGGUGAUCCGUAGCUGGUCUGAGAGGAUGAUCAGCCACACUGGGACUGAGACACGGCCCAGACUCCUACGGGAGGCAGCAGUGGGGAGUAUUGGACAAUGGGCGCAAGCCUGAUCCAGCAAUGCCGCGUGAGUGAUGAAGGCCUUAGGGUUGUAAAGCUCUUUCGCCCGCGACGAUGAUGACGGUAGCGGGAGAAGAAGCCCCGGCUAACUUCGUGCCAGCAGCCGCGGUAAUACGAAGGGGGCGAGCGUUGUUCGGAAUCACUGGGCGUAAAGGGCGCGUAGGCGGCCCUCCUUGUCGCGUGUGAAAGCCCCGGGCUCAACCUGGGAACGGCGCGCGAGACGGGGGGGCUGGAGUUCGGGAGAGGAGCGUGGAAUUCCCAGUGUAGAGGUGAA